CCUCCACAAAUAGAGACUGGAACUUCUGAGCACCAUCACCUUGUCUGCUUUGGGACUGUCGUAGCCCAGCAAUCAGAUGCAUCAGAACAACAAAGCACAACUGUGAUGGCCCAGGCACCUUCAGCAACAAAGAUUUAACAUCAUUGUCAGUCAGGAGCAUAUUUAACAGGAGACACCCUUCAGCUGGCUUGAU